GGAACCCUGAAGGGGUCAUUUGAACCUUUCAUAUCUCUUCCUCUCAGAGACUGAUGAGCAUCUUUUCAAUACAGCAGCAGCCGUCUGCCUUCUCACCUACAAUAUGUCUUUGGUGGAAACCAAGACGUUUUUGGCAUGCUGUCUCCUACCUUCGGCUCAACGGCACAUGCGUGGAAAGAGGGAGAACAGCUGUUUGGAGCUCUGCAGAGGGUUGAGCACAUUUCACGCUGAGGUGACGGACAGUUUCAGCAGAGCGUGUCUCCCCAACUCUGUGGAACAGGAACGUCAGGUGGCCACCCAGAAUGCCAUGGUCCAGAAUUUGAAUGACUUCUGAGGGAUAGUGGAAGAAACAAGCAAGCAAGCAAGCAAACAGACAGACAGACAGAUAUCUGUGGGAGAGUGGACCUCAAGAAACUUGAUGGCCAAGAUAACAUGAGGGUCUGUGACUGAGCUUAUCCCAGCAAUCAGCAUGGACGGCUGCUGAGCAGAUUGAGCUACGUCGGACCCGUGGUCCACAAACUCUCAACUCCAAUCUCCAAACAAGGAACCACUCAGCUACUGAUAAUGGAAUGUGCCUUUGGAAGCUCCCCUUCAGCUUUCUCAGCCUCUUUGUGAUCAAGCUAUUUACUGGGCAGACAAUCUAAGCAAUAAAACUGCCAUAAACUGCAACAGACCAAGCUAAUAUAAAUUGUAUACUGUGUAGUCACACAAGCAAGAAUGAUAAUUCCCCAUCUCUCUUACUGAAGAUGGAAAAUGUAAGAAGGGCUAAGGACUCCUCAGGAGGGGUAUGAGGAUCCUCAAUAGGAUGUUUGGGCUGGAGUUACUUUAUAUA